CCUACGGGAGGCAGCAGUGAGGAAUAUUUGUCAAUGGGCGGGAGCCUGAACCAGCCAAGUCGCGUGAGGGAUGACGGCCCUAUGGGUUGUAAACCUCUUUUGCCGGGGAGCAAAGUGCCGCAAGUGUGCGGUUUGGAGAGUACCCGGAGAAAAAGCAUCGGCUAACCCCGUGCCAGCAGCCGCGGUAAUACGGAGGAUGAGAGCAUUAUACGGUGUUAUUGGGUUAAAAGGGUGGGCAGGCGGACGCCUAAGUCAGCGGUAAACGUGCGGGGCUCAACCUCGUCGAGCCGUGGAAACUGGGAGCCUUGAGUGGGCGAGAAGUACGCGGAAUGCGUGGUGUAGCGGUGAAAUGCAUAGAUAUCACGAGGAACUCCGAGUGCGAAGGCAGCGUACCGGCGCCCAACUGACGCUGAGGCACGAAGGCGUGGGUAUCGAACGGGAUUAGAUACCCGAGUAGUC
rnacentral:rRNA from 1 species